rnacentral:misc_RNA from 1 species
GCAAUUACAGGUACUACAACAACAACUACUAUGCCUCGAUACCAAGCAAGUAUGGGUCGGUUGUAUGAAUUCCCACUACUUGUACUUGAGCAAUUACAAGUAGAGUGAGUAAUUUACAAAGUGCAGAAAGUAGGUAAUUUUGUGUGUUCACAGUUCGAUUGUUCGUUUAUAACACAUGUAAUGAGGCAAAAGCAACUUGACCUGCCAAACAACUCAUAGCAGCAAAUGCAUCCUCUGCAGAAAUUGAAACUCUAGUCAUUACAAGAUCGGUAUUCAAGGAAGAACCAUGUUCAUAAACUUUCUCUUGGAAAAUGCUGACCACCAUUUGUUGGGUGUUCCGUUAGGCCUAUAAGCAACGCUUAAUAACCUUCCGCUAGUUUCCUCCCUUAUUUGCUUCAGAUAAUUCCUGAAUAGUUCUGCUUCUUUUUUAGAUUGGGCUGGAGAAAAUAAGCUUGGGAAUGGGAAACCUGCCUCUCCAGGUACAGGAACAUUUUCCAGACCUAGGUUGAUGAUAGCCUUGGUUCCUUCAGCUAAAGUUCGGCAGCCUUCAAGCCUCUUUAAGGCUAUAUUGAUAUACAAUGUCAAAUAGAUAAGUAGCUUGUCAGAUGAGCUUUUAAUAUCAAAG